rnacentral:rRNA from 1 species
UUUGGCGACCAUAGCACUUUGGACCCACCUGAUUCCAUCCCGAACUCAGAAGUGAAACGAA